rnacentral:rRNA from 1 species
ACGGGAGGCAGCAGUGGGGUAUAUUGCACAAUGGGGGAAACCCUGAUGCAGCGACGCCGCGUGAGUGAAGAAGUAUUUCGGUAUGUAAAGCUCUAUCAGCAGGGAAGAUAAUGACGGUACCUGACUAAGAAGCACCGGCUAAAUACGUGCCAGCAGCCGCGGUAGUACGUAUGGUGCAAGCGUUAUCCGGAUUUACUGGGUGUAAAGGGUGCGUAGGCGGCAUGGCAAGUCAGAUGUGAAAGACCGGGGCUCAACUCCGGGGCUGCAUUUGAAACUGCCAGGCUGGAGUACAGGAGAGGCAGGCGGAAUUCCUAGUGUAGCGGUGAAAUGCGUAGAUAUUAGGAGGAACACCAGUGGCGAAGGCGGCCUGCUGGACUGUUACUGACGCUGAGGCACGAAGGCGCGGGUAUCAAACAGGAUUAGAUACCCUGGUA